rnacentral:rRNA from 1 species
UACGGAGGAUUCAAGCGUUAUCCGGAUUAUUGGGUUUAAAGGGUGCGUAGGCGGUCGGAUAAGUUAGAGGUGAAAUCCCGGGGCUCAACUUCGGAAUUGCCUCUGAUACUGUUCGGCUAGAGAGUAGUUGCGGUAGGCGGAAUGUAUGGUGUAGCGGUGAAAUGCUUAGAGAUCAUACAGAACACCGAUUGCGAAGGCAGCUUACCAAGCUACUUCUGACGUUGAGGCACGAAAGCGUGGGGAGCAAACAGG